rnacentral:rRNA from 1 species
UACAGAGGUCUCAAGCGUUGUUCGGAUUCAUUGGGCGUAAAGGGUGCGUAGGUGGCGCUGUAAGUCGGGUGUGAAAUUUCGGAGCUUAACUCCGAAACUGCAUUCGAUACUGCGGUGCUUGAGGACUGGAGAGGAGACUGGAAUUCAUGGUGUAGCAGUGAAAUGCGUAGAGAUCAUGAGGAAGACCAGUGGCGAAGGCGGGUCUCUGGACAGUUCCUGACACUGAGGCACGAAGGCCAGGGGAGCAAAACGGG